ACAUGCAAGGUUUUUCACGACUUUGUCGUGAAACGUUGGGAGUAUCACCCCCGUUAAAGCUCUAUAUUUGAGGUGUCUAUGUAUGACAUGAGUCGUUCAUGAGUGGCGACUGUGAUUGUUCAUGCAAAGUUCCCAUUCCAAUGGUUGGUUAUGGUUGAGCUUGAGACUUAAUGAGUAUUGCUAUAAUACCGCCUCAUUGCAUUUAUAAUGGUGGUUAUGUACAUACGUGUAGUAUGUACGGUACCUGGUUGUCAGGAAACCUUAAUGAUCUCGCCUAGACGCCAUUAUAAAACACAACUUUUUAUGUUUGAUCAUUUAUAGUGGUGGUUAUGUACAUACGUGUAGUAUGUGCGGUACCUGGAUGUCAGGAAACCUUAAUGAUCUCGCCUAGACGCCACUAUAAAAUUUAUAAUGGUGGUUAUGUACAUACGUGUAGUAUGUACGGUACCUGGUUGUCAGGAAACCUUAAUGAUCUCGCCUAGACGCCAUUAUAAAACACAACUUUUUAUGUUUAAUCAUUUAUAGUGGUGGUUAUGUACAUACGUGUAGUAUGUGCGGUACCUGGAUGUCAGGAAACCUUAAUGAUCUCGCCUAGACGCCACUAUAAAAUUUAUAAUGGUGGUUAUGUACAUACGUGUAGUAUGUACGGUACCUGGCUGUCAGGAAACCUUAAUGAUCUCGCCUAGACGCCAUUAUAAAACACAACUUUUUAUGUUUAAAGUUUGCAGAAAUGUGUACACAGAAAUGUGUCACA
rnacentral:misc_RNA from 1 species